GAUAAGCUUAUUAAAGAAUAGAUAGUUGGUGUGGUAAUGGCAUACCAAGUCUUUGAUCUUUAGCAAGUUUGAAAGAAUGAUUUGCCACACUGAGAUUGAGAACGGCUCAGACUUUUAAGGCAGCAGUACGGAAUAUUGGACAAUGAACUAAUAGUUUGAUCCAGCAAUACCGCAAAAGUGAUGAAGGCUAUUUAGUUGUAAAACUUUAGUUUAAAAAAAAAAUGAUUUUUUAAAGUGGAUAGCUCUGAUUAAUUACGUGCCAGCAAUCGCGGUAAGACGUAAGGAGCGAGCAUUAUUCGGAAUUAUUGGGCGUAAAGCGUUUGUAGGUUGUUAAAUAAGUUUCUUUCGCAAAACAAAGCUCAACUUUGUUUUUUAAGAAAUACUAUUUAGCUAGAGUUAUUAAAAGGAAAAUAGAACUUUUGGUGUAUGGGUAAAAUCAGUUGAUACCAAAAAGAAUUUCAAAGGCGUAGGCAAUUUUCUAUAUAUAGACUGACACUGAGAAACGAAAGUUAAGGUAGCAAAAGGGAUUAGAUACCCCUGUAGUCUUAACUGUAAACUAUGCAUGCUAAAGAAAAGUAAUCUUUUUGGAGAUAUACUGGAUUUAAGCUAACGCAAAGCAUGCCGCCUGGAGAGUAUAGUCGCAAGGCCGAAAUUCAAAGGAAUUGACGGGAGCUUUUUCACGUAGUGGGACAUGCUAUCUUAAGUCGAUAAUACACGAAAACCUUACCAAUUUUAGACAGAUUUCAAAAAUUAACAGGUGUUGCAUGAUUGUCGUCAGUUCGUGUCGUGAGAUGUUGGGUUAAGUCCUUUAACGAACGCAACCCUUGAUUUUAAAAUUUAUUUUUAAAAUAAUUAUCAAAGACAAUUUGAUUAAAAGAGGAUUACGUCAAAUCACCAUGACCCUAAUAAAUUGGGCUAUGAGCGUGUCACAAAGGUAAAAACAACGAGAAGCUAUUGAGAAAUCAGGAGCAAUUCUUUCAAAUUUUACCUUAAUUCGGAUUAAAGGUUGAAACUCACCUUUAUGAAGUUGGAAUUACGAGUAAUCGCGAAUUAGAAAGUUGCGGUGAAAUGUAAACUAAGCUUUGUACAUACCGCCCGUCACGUUAUGAAAGGAAUCUUUUUUUGAAAAAGCAAAAUUUAUUGCUUUUAAAAAAAAGCAUCUGAUUGUAAUGAAGUCGUAACAAGGUAGCUGUAAGUGAACUUGUAGCUGAAAUAA
rnacentral:rRNA from 1 species